UAACCUGCCCAAGAUAUCGGGAUAACACCUGGAAACAGAUGCUAAUACCGGAUAACAACAGAUGAUGCCUAUCAACUGUUUAAAAGAUGGUUCUGCUAUCACUCUUGGAUGGACCUGCGGUGCAUUAGCUAGUUGGUAGGGUAACGGCCUACCAAGGCGAUGAUGCAUAGCCGAGUUGAGAGACUGAUCGGCCACAUUGGGACUGAGACACGGCCCAAACUCCUACGGGAGGCAGCAGUC
rnacentral:rRNA from 1 species